rnacentral:lncRNA from 1 species
UGGAAUGGCUUUAAACGAAAAGAGGGAAGAUUUAGGUUAGAUAUUAGGAGGCAGGAAUUUCUUACUCGAGGUAUUGAGGCACUGACACAGGAUGCCCAGGGAGGUUGUGAAUGACGCGUCUCCGGAGGCGUUCGAGGCCAGGCUGGAUGUGGCUCUCUGGGCAGCCCAAUUGAGUGGGUGGCAGCCCGGCCGGUGGUGGAGGCAUUCGAGCUCGAUGAUCUUUGAGGUCUGAGCCAUACUGUGAGAGAAAUCAAUCAACAGAGGCCAAGCCAAUUGUAUUUUUGUUUUGUUUUGUUCUUUAACAUCACAUAGAUACAACAACGUAAGCCAUUCCUAAG